CCUACGGGAGGCAGCAGUGGGGAAUUUUCCGCAAUGGGCGCAAGCCUGACGGAGCAAGACCGCGUGAGGGAGGAAGGCUCUUGGGUUGUAAACCUCUUUUAUCAGGGAAGAAGAUCUGACGGUACCUGAUGAAUCAGCAUCGGCUAACUCCGUGCCAGCAGCCGCGGUAAUACGGAGGAUGCAAGCGUUAUCCGGAUUUAUUGGGCGUAAAGCGUCCGCAGGUGGUUUUUCAAGUCUGCUGUUAAAGCGCAGAGCUUAACUCUGUAACGGCGGUGGAAACUGAGAGACUAGAGUAUGGUAGGGGUAGCGGGAAUUCCCAGUGUAGCGGUGAAAUGCGUAGAUAUUGGGAAGAACACCAGCGGCGAAAGCGCGCUACUGGGCCAUAACUGACACUCAUGGACGAAAGCUAGGGGAGCGAAAGGGAUUAGAUACCCCUGUAGUCCUAGCUGUAAACGAUGGGUACUAGGUGUUGACCGUAUCGACCCGGUCAGUGCCGUAGCUAACGCGUUAAGUACCCCGCCUGGGGAGUAUGCACGCAAGUGUGAAACUCAAAUGAAUUGACGG
rnacentral:rRNA from 1 species